AACGAACGCUGGCGGCGUGCUUAACACAUGCAAGUCGAACGCGAACGUUUUCUUCGGAAAACUAGUAGAGUGGCGCACGGGUGAGUAACGCGUAAGUAAUCUACCCUGGCAUCUGGGAUAACCCACCGAAAGGUGUGCUAAUACCGGAUACGCUGAUUUAUCAGGAAAGGUGGCCUCUUCAUGAAAGCUACUGUGCCGGGAGGAGCUUGCGUACCAUUAGCUAGUUGGUGGGGUAAUGGCCUACCAAGGCGACGAUGGUUAGCGGGUCUGAGAGGAUGAUCCGCCACACUGGAACUGGAACACGGACCAGACUCCUACGGGAGGCAGCAGUGAGGAAUAUUGCGCAAUGGGGGAAACCCUGACGCAGCGACGCCGCGUGGAUGAUGAAGGCUUUCGGGUCGUAAAAUCCUGCCAGAUGGGAAGAAAUGCCAUUCAGUUAAUAUCUGUUUGGUUUGACGGUACCAUCAAAGGAAGCACCGGCUAACUCCGUG
rnacentral:rRNA from 1 species